rnacentral:rRNA from 1 species
UACGGGGGGGGCAAGCGUUGUUCGGAAUUACUGGGCGUAAAGGGCUCGUAGGCGGCCAACUAAGUCGGAUGUGAAAUCCCCAGGCUCAACUUGGGAACUGCAUCCGAUACUGGAUGGCUUGAAUUCGGGAGAGGGAUGCAGCAUUCCAGGUGUAGCGGUGAAAUGCGUAGAUAUCUGGAGGAAUACCGGUGGCGAAGGCGGCAUCCUGGACCGACAUUGACGCUGAGGAGCGAAAGCUAGGGGAGCAAACGGG